AACGAACGCUGGCGGCAUGCCUAACACAUGCAAGUCGAACGAGACCUUCGGGUCUAGUGGCGCACGGGUGCGUAACGCGUGGGAACCUGCCCUUAGGUUCGGAAUAACUCCCCGAAAGGGGUGCUAACACCGGACAAUGUCUUCGGACCAAAGAUUUAUCGCCUUUGGAUGGGCCCGCGUUGGAUUAGCUAGUUGGUAGGGUAAAAGCCUACCAAGGCGACGACCCAUAGCUGGUCUGAGAGGAUGAUCAGCCACACUGGGACUGAGACACGGCCCAGACUCCUACGGGAGGCAGCAGUAGGGAAUAUUGGACAAGGGGCGAAAGCCUGAGCCAGCAAUGCCGCGUGAGUGAUGAAGGCCUUAGGGUUGUAGAGCUCUUUUGCCCGGGAUGAUGAUGACAGUACCGGGAGAAUAGGCUCCGGCUAACUCCGUG
rnacentral:rRNA from 1 species